rnacentral:rRNA from 1 species
UACGAAGGGGAUUAGCGUUGUUCGGAAUUACUGGGCGUAAAGCGCACGUAGGCGGAUUUGUAAGUCAGGGGUGAAAUCCCGGGGCUCAACCUCGGAACUGCCUUUGAUACUGCAAAUCUCGAGUCCGAUAGAGGUGGGUGGAAUUCCUAGUGUAGAGGUGAAAUUCGUAGAUAUUAGGAAGAACACCGGUGGCGAAGGCGGCCCACUGGAUCGGUACUGACGCUGAGGUGCGAAAGCGUGGGGAGCAAACAGG